rnacentral:rRNA from 1 species
AAAAGACAAAGGUGAAUAAUUCAGCAAGGCGUAAACCCCAGAGGUUCCAGCCCGCCCUCCUAUUUGGUAAAAAAACCUUCCCGUUAGGGGGUACCUGCGGAGGGAUCAUUACACAAAUAUGAAGGCGGGCUGGACUCUCGGGGUUACAGCCUUGCUGAAUUAUUCACCCUUGUCUUUUGCGUACUUCUUGUUUCCUUGGUGGGUUCGCCCACCACUAGGACAAACAUAAACCUUUUGUAAUUGCAAUCAGCGUCAGUAACAAAUUAAUAAUUACAACUUUCAACAACGGAUCUCUUGGUUCUGGCAUCGAUGAAGAACGCAGCGAAAUGCGAUAAGUAGUGUGAAUUGCAGAAUUCAGUGAAUCAUCGAAUCUUUGAACGCACAUUGCGCCCUUUGGUAUUCCAAAGGGCAUGCCUGUUCGAGCGUCAUUUGUACCCUCAAGCUUUGCUUGGUGUUGGGCGUCUUGUCUCUAGCUUUGCUGGAGACUCGCCUUAAAGUAAUUGGCAGCCGGCCUACUGGUUUCGGAGCGCAGCACAAGUCGCACUCUCUAUCAGCAAAGGUCUAGCAUCCAUUAAGCCUUUUUUUCAACUUUUGACCUCGGAUCAGGUAGGGAUACCCGCUGAACUUAAGCAUAUCAAUAGCCGGGAGGAAACAGUGUUGC